rnacentral:rRNA from 1 species
AUACGGAGGGUGCAAGCGUUAAUCGGAAUUACUGGGCGUAAAGCGCGCGUAGGUGGAAUGGUAUGUUGGAUGUGAAAUCCCCGGGCUCAACCUGGGAACUGCACCCAAAACUGCCAAUCUAGAGUGUGAUAGAGGGAGGUGGAAUUUCUAGUGUAGCGGUGAAAUGCGUAGAUAUUAGAAGGAACACCAGUGGCGAAGGCGGCUACCUGGACCGAUACUGACGCUGAGGCGCGAAAGCGUGGGGAGCAAACAGGAUUAGAUACCCCAGUAGUCC